ACUCAUACCUGGCAGGGGAGAUACCAUGAUCAUAAAAGUGGUUUUCCCAGGGUAAGGCUCAUCCAUUGUACUUCAGGUGUGCUGAUCCCUGUGAUUUCCCCAACUGCCUAAUUUAUGGUAGUGGGGGGACUGCAUUGUGGUUUCCCCUA
rnacentral:snRNA from 1 species